AGGUAGAAGAGAAGAUAAUACGAAUUUCGGGCUCAUAAUUAAAAAGACAACAAUAUCACUCCAAAUUUCUACUACUCCUAAUACUGUUGGUAGUAUAAUUUAAUCACAACCAUUCGAUAAAAAAUAGAUCAAUGGUAUUGAUUAAAAUCUACUUCCAGUAGAACGCACCAAAAAAGAGCUUAUUUUUAACAUCAAUAGUAUGGAAUAUGUUUAGUAAUAGAAUUGGUUUCCU
rnacentral:lncRNA from 1 species